GCGUCCGUAGCUCAAUUGGAUAGAGCACUAGACUUCGGAUCUAGGGGUUAGGGGUUCAAGUCCUCUCGGGCGUGCCA
rnacentral:tRNA from 3 species